CAACGACCGCACCGACCCUUAAGCGUUCUUAAGACGAGAGCUGUGAGGGGAAAACUACGCAAGGAGCCCUUUUCCCUUAAUGUCCCUUCUACUUUCUUUUCACUUCAAAAUGAAUGUGGAAAUGCUAUAACGCCUGAUUUUUUAAUUCCUUGAUGUUGGGUUUUUUUCUCUCUUUUUUAUAUCUCAACUUCUAAUGCUUUCCUUCCUAUGAUCUUUCAUCUAAAAACCACUUCUUUGCAGGUCUUUACGGUAAAAAAAAAAAAAAAAGCUUACAUAACUGAACAAAUUUUGUGGCUCAGUAUUUUGAAAAUAGCUAGUCAGUUUAUACUGUUCUCUACUCAAAACGUUACCUGAAAAUUACAGGCCCUCUCCCAUUUCUCUCCUCACCGCAUCCCCCAGCAAAGAGGGCCUCAGGGAUUUUCAUUAUUUGGGGUCGAUGAAUAUAAACAUCACAAAGAUACGUUAUCCUCAGCCUAAAUACACUAGAACGUUAAUCAGUGUUUGAGUUCUACUUCCGAAGUUACCUUACAGUGGUAAUUGGUGGAAGUGGUUUAGUGUUAAACCCUGAAAAGAAAAUCCCCAGGCAGCAUGUUCUUGCUGUUGUGUUGGUAUUCUGGUUACUAGGGGAAACGCAUAAAAGCCUUUAAGGUGUGUGCUGGUUGGAAUGAAUUUUGGCUUUUUUAGGAGUUCGUAAUAAAAGUACUUAGAAGCAGACAGUUAAAUCAGAAGGUUGAUUGAGGCUUUUAUUCUUUGUGAGGAAAGAGAUUUAAAUAGGUUAGAAACAAAACUUUUUUAAUGCCUGUAAGAUUGGAUUUUUAAAAUGAAAUCUGGGUCACAGAUACAAGUGAGUAGUCGAACCUGCUUAUUUUUUAGUGUGGCGUAUUGAUUGUCGCAACAAAACUUUUUAAAACUCUUCUAAUAAAAAUAUGUGGUGAUAAUUAUAAGCUGAUUGUUUUGAUAACAUUAGGUAGUUGUGGGAAGAAAUUUGGCUGCCCAUUAAUCUUUCCUUCCAUUGACUUUAGUACAGAAAUUUAUUUUUUGUUAAUGUUUGUUUUGAUUUGGUUUGUGGGGAAGUGAAGAGGACUACUAUUUGGGACCUUGUUGUCCUUUAAGUUCUUACUUUUUAAUUAGUCAUCAAAUUGAGGAAUGGAACAAGUUUGGGGUAAUUGACACUUUACCCACCUAAGAAGGCAGUAUAUGUAAGAUCCCCACCCAAUUUUAAGCUAAAAUGUAUGUAGGCAUUAACAUUUUAUGUUAAUAGAAAACGGGUUCUUCCUCCUCCCUGCCCCUUACAGUGUUUACUGUCAUAGAAAAUAUUUUUUGACAUGUGAUACCCAAGUGUAUGUUAGUGUAAAUGAACUCAGUAGAUUGAAUAAUGCGUUCGCCCACCCUUACCUGUUACAUCUUUUUUUUCUUUUGUAGGUUGGGGUAAUUGUCUUUAUUUGUUAUUGGUUAAAGAAUUAGAAGAAUGCCAGAAGCUUUUCUGAGGGUUAAUGUUCGUGAAGAAAUUGAAGAGUUUUUUCCAAGAAUGUGGAAGAUAAAUCAAGAUAAAAGAAGGCUAAUGAAAAGUAUUAAAGAUCAGAAAAUUAAAAUUGAAUGGGGGAAAAAAUUGAACAGAAGAUUGGUCAGAUAGAAGCACUUGAAUAUUUUUUUUAAGGCUAUUUUGAAUUGUUUGAAUUGGGGAAGAAUACACGAAGUAUGAAAAAUGAAAAACUCAAUGAAGAAUGAAGAGAAGUAGAAAGCAAGAGUGAAGUAGAAUUAAAAGAAUCUGGAAGAAUGAAUGGGUCCUAGGUUAAGUAAAUGUAUGGUUUAUGUUCCAGUGUC